GGGGUUGUGGCUCAGUGGUAGAGCACUUGCCUCAAAUGUGAGGCCCUGGGUUUGAUCCUCAGCACCACA
rnacentral:tRNA from 1 species